UACGAAGGUGGCAAGCGUUACUCGGAAUUACUAGGCGUAAAGGGCAGGUAGGUGGUUUGGUAAGUCUGUUGUGUAAGCUCCCGGCUUAACUGGGAGAGGUCAACAGAAACUACCAGGCUUGAGUAUAGGAGAGGUUACUGGAAUUCCCGGUGUAGCGGUGAAAUGCGCAGAGAUCGGGAGGAACACCAAUGGCGAAAGCAGGUAACUGGACUAUUACUGACACUAAGCUGCGAAAGCUAGGGGAGCAAACAGG
rnacentral:rRNA from 1 species